UGCUAUAAUAGGUUUUAAGACCCCACAAAGCACACCAUCCUCACAAAAUCCACCCAUUACCACCUUUAUCUCUCCAUUACAACCUUCACCACCAUGAAUCGGCCUCAUACUACCAUGAAUCAACUCCCACUUUGGUGUUCUUGUUCUAUUAUCUUCAAUAAGAGAUGGAAUCAACAACAAAGAUUCCUCAUCAUAUGGAUCUUAUUUGUAGCAAAGUUCAAGCUUUAUCGUCAUCUUCACCGAAUCAUGCGCAUCUAAAUUCUAAAAUAUCCUUGACCCCAUCCCUAGAAUCUGACAAUGUAAACUUCCUUUCAAAAACUUCUUAAACUCUUUCCUACUAACAAAUCCUCCAUACCUUUGUUCGUUAGAACUCAACUUUUUAACAAUAUGACCAAUUACUUCACACCAGCAAGUCAAUUGAAGGUAAGAAGGGUGAACCUAAGUUUCUGCAGUACGACUAGAAAGAGAACAAGAGAGAAGGAGGUGCGAUUUGGGGUGGGUGCCAAGAAUCAAUUAUGAACGAGUCGCAAUGAAAAAGAACAACUCAAAUUCUCUCAAGGUUAAUUCGCCGUAAGUUGGUUCUUCAUCUUUUGGUAAGCUUUUCCUUACUUAUCUAGUGAUUCUACACAUAAAUAUACUAGUUUUGUUACAAUUACACACAUUAAUAUGUGUUAAUAUCCAUAGGAUAACUCCAUCUUCAAGUGUCUUCAAGUGUUCUUGGCCUGAAAUCAUUCAUCUUCGCCACUUUAUCCACCAAAAACACACUCAAUGUGAGUUCAUACCCCUCAUUUUCAUUUUUAUCCAAGUUUUUAGGGGGGGGGGGAUACAAGUAAACUUGUAUAAUAACACAAGUUGUUAUGCAUGCUUCUUCUUUAUGUUGUGUAAAAGUAUUAUUUGCAUGAAAUAAUGUUUUUACCUAGUAUUAUGAAAAGUUUUGUGUGGUAAGUUUUUUUUUAAAUGCAAAACUAUGACAAAUGAGUAUAAACAUGCUUUAUGUUCUUUAGAAGAUGUCAUAAAAACAAAAAUAUAAAAACUAUGGUUUUUAUGAACACAUAUGGGUUUUCUAGCAAAAAUGGUCAUGAAUAAGUUGUGUCACAAUUUUUGUGAAAUUUGACUUAAAUUUUGUUGUUUUAAACAUAAAAGGAUAGAUUGACUUAAUCUCUACAAAAAGGUAAAAUGAACUUUACAAAGUUUAUAACUCAAUAUUUACCGUUUGGUGACGUAAAAAGGCCAAAAACCAGAAAACUAAUUUUAUCAAACAAAUAGUUCAUAUACUUGUGUUAGAUGUAUAAUAUAUGGUCUUAUGAACAUCUAAACAUGUUAUCUUAUAUAUAUAUAUAUAUAUAUAUAUAUAUAUGUGUGUGUGUGUGUGUGUGUAUAGGUACAACAAAACAUUUAAGAUAAACUAUAAUAUGUAUAGUUUAUGGGUCAUUAGCACUAUUUUAACGUUUUGUGACAAAGCAAAUAAUUAUAUAAAGGUAUAAUUAUUUUACACUAUGUAAGUAAUAUGGAGAGGUGAUAUUUUCACUAACAAAUGGUUUUCAUUACACUAUAUGUAAACUUGUUGAUAUAAUUUUGUGAGACAUAGUCUUCACCGUACCUACCAGAGUACACACUAAAGUCCUGAAUUAUAACUAGAAUCUCAGCAAGAGAGCGUGACAUUUGUGUAUAGAUCUAUACGGGACUGACAAUCCCGCACCUAAGCUGCUAGCAAAGGCUAGACUAGCAGGUAUGGGGUGACAAUUGUCUAACAUUCUGACGCCUAAAGAACGUCGUAGCCGGCCACUAUGGUUUUAGCAUGGUUGUAAUAACUCACAUGGGGAAUCAGCAAAUACAUUUAGUUUACAGGGUAACACGCAUUCAAAUGUUUUAUAUAAGAACAAAACUAUGUAAUACUAUUUUAAGUAUGAAAAUACUUAUACAUUUUUGGUCUUAAGGUUUUUAAGACUACAACUCAUUUUUAAGAAAAUAUUGGAUUUUCUGGGAACGAAUACUGUCAUUUUAUAAGGAAAAAGUUACAGAUUUUCACAUACAAAACUCUUAUGAACUCACUGAUAGUUUUGUUUUUAUUACUUCUUUUCAUAGUUUAUUUUUAGUUAAAACCAUAUCAUUUUAGUUAAUCUUCAUGCAUAUUUUCUCUUUUUGUUAUUUUUCUACUUUACCGGGUGCUUUCCAGUCUUUUGAGCUUAUUUGCAGGAUUUAUCGAAAACUAUUUGUUAUUGGAGGUGUGGAAGGAGUGCGGGACUGCUGGAGGCUUGCAAUUUGUUCAUGGACUUGAAGUGGUGUAAUUGGGCUUGGUAUCAAUAUAAGCAAGAAGCGCGUCCGACUUAAAUUUCGGGCGGGACGACGAGAAUUCGAGCUACAGAAGAUUAAAGAAGCAUUGGAGCAUCUUGGAAGAGUUUGGAAGGAAUAAUUGGGCUAUCAAGACCUUGCACAAAUGGGAUGGACCAUGGAUGAGAAGAGCAAUCUAGAAGGCCAAUCAAAUGGGCCAAAUGGCCUAGAAUCCACGCGGUCCGCGUGGAUUUACAAAUGGUCCGCGUGGAUCGCACUGUGAAGAAUCCAAAUUUUUGACUUUUUGACUCUAUUUUGGGAAGGUUGGUGGAAUACUUUUGGGGGACUUUUACAUCUAAAUUUUUACACCUAUUUAUUGGCUUUUUUGAGGAAGAAAAUGGGGGGAAGACUUUGAAGAACAACACUUUUGCUCUCUAGAAUAUUGGAAGAUUUAGAAGCUUGGAGCAAUUUUUCUUCCAACUUGCAUCUUGAACAAUGUUUGGUAUCACUAAUCUACUUUGCAUUUCUUUCAUUUUGGCCAUGCUUGGCUGGACUCAUAUUGGGUUGACUUGGAUGUAAUUGCUUGAAUGUUUUGGUUAUUUUGAAUAACUCCAUGAACUUGUUUUGAAUAUCUAUGAUUAUAUUUUCUAUAAAAA